AUUCAAACUCACUAACUAUCUCAUCAAUCAUGUUUCGUGUAUUGGGAAAUCUUACACAAACAAGACCAGUUCAAGUGCAGAAUUUCAUGUUAAGCCUAACUAGAUCCUCCUUCAAAACAACUCGUGGUGGAUCAAGAAAGUCAGACCUCAGCAAAGGGGGUGGUGGACAAAUUAAUAAAAUUAAUGGAACAAAGGAGGAGACGACGGGUUUGACAAACAACAACAAAAAUUAAGUUUCAGAAUGAUGACAAUGGAUUGCAGCCAAACCUAUAGUAUAGUACAUGCAGUUUUGAUGUUCGCAAAUUUUAAUUAAGAUUAAUUAUUUGAA